rnacentral:rRNA from 1 species
UACGUAGGGUGCGAGCGUUGUCCGGAAUCAUUGGGCGUAAAGAGCGCGUAGGCGGCCCAGUAAGUCCGCUCUGAAAGUCAGGGGCUCAACCCCUGAAUGCGGGUGGAUACUGCUGGGCUAGAGUCCGGAAGAGGCGAGUGGAAUUCCUGGUGUAGGCGGUGAAAUGCGCAGAUAUCAGGAGGAACACCAGUGGCGAAGGCG